rnacentral:antisense_RNA from 1 species
UGUGGGAGCGAGCCUGCUCGCGAUGGCGUCAUAACAUUCAACAUCUUUGUUGACUGUCAGACCGCUAUCGCGAGCAGGCUCGCUCCCACA